rnacentral:tRNA from 1 species
GGCCAGGUAGCUCAGCUGGUAGAGCAGCGGACUGAAAAUCCGCGUGUCGGCGGUUCAAUUCCGUCCCUGGCCA